GUAUAUAGCUCAGUUGCGAGAGCGUUAGACUAUGGAUCGAAAAGUCCCGGGUUCGAACCCGGUUUUCG
rnacentral:tRNA from 1 species